rnacentral:lncRNA from 1 species
AGCCUUUCUUCCCUGGGCCUCUGGAGCCUGCAGUUUCCAAACCAAGCUGGUCCUGAUUUCUGAGGCACUUAGACUGUGCAGACUCCCAGAACACUCCUUCUGAAGUCCUCACUCAGCUGACCCAGGGCAGGGUCUGGGAAUCUCUGUGUUACAAAGCUCCCAGGGAGGAAUUGAUGAGGUUUUGGAUGUGGGAACUAUGGGAAUCCCCCGUCUUCCCCCAGGAUCCUCAGCCACCGGAAGGAAGUCCAACAGCAUGGCUCCCUAUAUCUGGGCUAACUCCUGUUAUCUCAGAAAAUCUCUCCUGGGCAGAGCUACUGAGCUAUGGAACCAUUCAGUGUUCUGCACUAUCUCAAGAACACAACCAGCACUGACCAAAAUACUCUGGAAGGGCACCACAGAGCUCACUGAGGAAGAACCUUUCCCAAUGGGAAAAAAGUAUGGAGAAAGGCCUCUUCACAGGUGGGUUCCUAAAAUUCAUUCCAUAACUUGAAGAAAAUCAGAUGUUUCCAAACAGGAGAGAGAAAAGACAAAGGAGAAGAGGAAGGAACAGGGAGGAAAGAAUGAAUCUUUUUUUUUUUUUUUUGGUGGGGGUACAAGGGACUGAACUCACUCAACCACUGAGCCACAUUCCCCAGCCCUGUUUUGUAUUUUAUUUAGACACAGGGUCUCACUGAAUUGCUUAGCGCCUCACUGUUGCUGAGGCUGGCUUUGAACUUGUGAUCCUCCUGCCUCAGCCUCCCAAGCCGCUGGGAUUACAGGUGUGGGCCCCCACACCCUGUUGAGGGAAUGACUCUUAUGUGAAUGAAUAGUACUUUUUUCUUAGUUACCAGGAAGAAGAAAGUAUCAACAAAGCCAGACCCAGAGCUCAACUAAAGAGAUUUCUCUGCCUCAAAUUCUUUCCUGGAAGCUGCAAACUGUAUCCACCAGUGGCCAUUAAUCGAGUAUUAAGCCCUCUAACCUUCCUAAUUGUUCUUUUUCAAUAUCAGGUGGUUUCAUAUUAACCUUUCAGUCUUUCCCAUAAUGCAGCUCCCUCCAACCCUAGCCAGACUUGAUUUAGAAGCUGUGGCCAGCCCAGAACUUUCUUCCUCUUGCUGCCUUCCCCCACCUCCUCCCCUGUGACUGCCCUUCUGUCUUACUCCUAGGCGUGCUACGAAGAGGUCCCCUGGGUGUAGCGUGCACUGCCUGGAUCUGGGCUGGCCAGAGCCAAAGGGACACAUUUGCGAGCCUGUGCCUUGUGCUUUGGGGUUCCCGUGACUGCAGUAGUUCCUCUAUUAUCUGGGACUAAGGCUAUCAGGGGAAGGCAGCUGCAGCCUGCCAGUGCUAAUGAGCCUCUGGCUGGUUCCGUGGCUCCUGCCAGUGCUAAUGAGCCUCUGGCUGGUUCCGUGGCUCCGGUAUUUCAGCUUUGUUUUCUCUCUCUCCCGGGAAGAACUCACCAAAAUAGUGUCUUUGGAAAGGACGGAGCAUCUGGCCCAGAUGCUGAGGGAGCGUUUGGAGCUGCCUGUCUUGGAUUCCCCUCUGUGCCUGUGAGGGCCCCUCAGUCCUAAGGCCAGGCUGUGACCCACACAGAGGCGCCAUCUUGUGGAGGGUCACACAGCCUGGGCUUGAGUUUGGGCCUUUCCCAGCAGACAAUGACAGUUUUGGAGAGAGGAUCUUUGACUCCUUGGGUGAUUGCUACCCCAAUAUAAGCAGUGGGGAGUGGAGGGAUCUUUUGUUCCAGGGGAGGUAUCUCUGGGGUACUUGUUCUUCUCCUUUAUAGUUAGGGUAUAAAGCUAGGAAGGACCAUAAAAUUCACUAUGCAAACCCUCAUUUCAUGAGACUGGGGCUGUAGAGCUUUGUCAGAAGCAGAAGGGUGAGAGUCUCUCUCUCUAGCUUCACUCAGCCCAGGCCAGACAGUGCAGGAAAAUCAAGAUGGUCUUCAUAGCAGGCCUGAGAGGCAGGGCAGGUGGAGGGGUAAUAGUGUGGCUUCUCUUUUUUUUUUUUUUUUAAGUACUGGGGAUUUAACCCAGGCUCACUUUACUACUGAGCUACAUCACCAGCCUGAUUUAUUUUUAUUUAUUUGUAUUUAGUUGUCAAUAGACCUUUAUUUUAUUUAUCUAUAUGCAGUGCUGAGAAUCUAACCCAGGGCCUCACACAUGCUAGGCAAGCGCUCUACCACUGAGCCACAAUCCCAGCCCAGCCUGUUGUAUUUAAAUUUGUUUUUUUUUUUUUUUCUUUUUUGAGACAGGUCCUUGCUAAUUUGCUGAGGCUGACCUCAAAUUUGUAAUUCUCCUGCCUCCGCCUCCCGAGUUGCUAGGAUUACAGAUGGGACCUCUCCUGGACAGAGGUUUUCUCCCAGCCACCACAGACCAAGGCCAGCUCUGCAUAGGCUGCCCUGCCUGGGAGCCGCAGUCCACUCCACGUUAAGUAGGAUCAGUGUGGGUUUGAGCUUUUGCCUGGUGAGGAUCCCUUGACCCUAGCACCACCCCCAGACCUCAGAAGAACACUCUCACUGAAACAGCCCUGAGGAUGAGAGAAAGGCCAGGCCCUCCUGUCCAAGCCUCUCCUGUCUGGGCAUGCGCACACAGAGAAACCCCUAUCCUGUCCUCACACCCUGUCGCCAUGCCAGGAUCACUUACUUCCCUGGCCUCUGCUUGCCAGGCACAGUGCCUCUUCCCAUGAGUGGACAGAGUCAGGGGCUGAGUGUUGGGGAACCCAGCUCCCUGCGCCCUACCUCUGGGCUGAUGCUGCCUUCCCUGAGCGUCUCUGGCCUGCACUUGAGGCAGUUCCAGAGCAGCUCUGGGAUGUGGCACUCAGCUGCAGUCUUGAUUCCACCCCAGAGGCAUGCUGACUUCUGCCCCUUUCCUACCUGAGCAGAAUAGGUCUAUCAGCUAACUCCCACCUCAGGGAACUGAGUAGGGGACAGAGUCUGGAAAAGGAAGUUGGGUCACCAAAACCAGCCCCACCAUCAGAGCCAGCACAGCUAUUUUUCUUCAACCCCACACAGCAAGAAGGCAUUCACCAGCUCUGCACCCCCCUGACUCUGGAUGAAGGGACAUGGCUCAUUUAACAAAGGACCCCAAAUCCACAUCCUGUGUUCAUAAGAUUGACCUUGUCCUAGAAUGCACUCUGGAAAGGGCUUGGGUUCUCCCAGCCUCGGGUAGCUUGCUGCCUGGGGUUGGGCGUUCAUGCACACUCCUUCGGUGACAAUGCAGAAGGGGCCUUCCCCUCAAGGGGCUUUACUGGCCCUGGAGGUAAAUACUUCUCCGGUGACAAACAACUGAGACUAAAGAUAAACUUAAAGCAUAAAAAUGAGUUAAUACCCACAAAAAUAAAGUGCUUUUAAAUAACCAAUUGU